CCCUGUCUCGAAAGUGACCGUGGAGUGUCCAUCUCCAGGUCAUUGAUGUACAGGAAGAGCAACUGAAAGUCUUUCCCGUGUUUGCUGGAUUCUGUUCCUGACAAACCCUGAAUCUUUCUCACA